CGUCUCUAUUAAAAAUACAAAAACUAGCCAGGCGAGGUGGUAGGCACCUGCAAUCCCAGCUACUUGGGAGGCCGAGGCAGGAGAAUCACUUCAUCUCGGGAGGCAGAGGUUGCAGUGAGCCAAGAUCUCACCACUGCACUCCAGCCUGGGCAACAGAGCAAGAUUCCGUCUCAAGGAAGAAAAAAAAAAAAAAGUCAGCUGGAUGUGGUGGCUCACGCCUGUAAUCCCAGCACUUUGGAGUCCAAGGUGAGAGGACUGCUUGAGCUCAGGAGUUUGAGGCCAGCCUGAGUAACAAAUAAGACCUCAUCAUUACUUAAAAAGGAAAAGAAGAAGCCACCACAGUCAACACACUCACCAACUGCUCACCCUCUUGGGUAACCAAGGAAGUGCAAAUUGAAAUCACAACACGAUGCUAUUUUACAUUCAUUACAUUGACAAAAAUUUUACAAGUAGGAUGGUCCCAAGUGGUGGUGAGGAUGAGAAACGAGGUGGUGAGGACAAGAAACAACAGAAAUGCUGUGAGCACUGACAUUGGGUACAAGCCGAUGCAUGGCCUAGACAGGUGGGCAUGAAGACUCAGUGCAGACUGGCCUUGUGGCUGCACACCUGUGUGGUCCCAUGGGGCCUGCACCUGGUUUAAUGUGAUGCUGCUGCUGUACAGAAAUCCCUGAUAUUUUAUCAAGGAACU
rnacentral:lncRNA from 1 species